UACGUAGGUGGCAAGCGUUGUCCGGAUUUACUGGGCGUAAAGCGUGCGCAGGCGGUUUUGUAAGUCUGUCGUGAAAGCCCCGGGCUCAACCUGGGAACUGCCUUUGUGACUGCAUGGCUAGAGUGCGGCAGAGGGGGAUGGAAUUCCGCGUGUAGCAGUGAAAUGCGUAGAUAUGCGGAGGAACACCGAUGGCGAAGGCAAUCCCCUGGGCCUGCACUGACGCUCAUGCACGAAAGCGUGGGGAGCAAACAGG
rnacentral:rRNA from 1 species